ensembl:rRNA 5S_rRNA 5S ribosomal RNA
ACAAGCAGCCAUAUCACCCUGCAACUCACAACUGGCAACCCACUGAAGCUAAGCAGGUGUGAGCCUGGUCAGUACCUGGAUGGGAGACCCCCUAGAGAAAUCUAAGGUUGCUGCUGGAA